rnacentral:rRNA from 1 species
GAUGAACGCUGGCGGCGUGCCUAAUACAUGCAAGUCGAGCGAACAGACGAGGAGCUUGCUCCUCUGACGUUAGCGGCGGACGGGUGAGUAACACGUGGAUAACCUACCUAUAAGACUGGGAUAACUUCGGGAAACCGGAGCUAAUACCGGAUAAUAUAUUGAACCGCAUGGUUCAAUAGUGAAAGACGGUUUUGCUGUCACUUAUAGAUGGAUCCGCGCCGCAUUAGCUAGUUGGUAAGGUAACGGCUUACCAAGGCAACGAUGCGUAGCCGACCUGCGAGGGUGAUCGGCCACACUGGAGCUGAGACACGGUCCAGACUCCUGCGGGAGGCAGCAGUAGGGAAUCGUCCGCAAUGGGCGAGAGCCUGACGGAGCAACGCCGCGUGAGUGAUGAAGGUCUUCGGAUCGUAAAACUCUGUUAUUAGGGAAGAACAAAUGUGUAAGUAACUAUGCACGUCUUGACGGUACCUAAUCAGAAAGCCACGGCUAACUACGUG